rnacentral:lncRNA from 1 species
CAAUCCCCUUUAAGCAGAUCUAUAAGCAUCACAGAUGAACAGAACUUUCAACAUUCCGCCAUGAAUAUUCAUGAAGUAAGUUGUUUUUUGUUGCCUGCCUAGUCAGCAGUCAGAAAACACAUGGUGUGUGUUGGCAGCAUCUUUCCUAGGUAGAGGGCUAUGGACUGAGGCAAUGGCAGGAACCGGGACCUGUGAGGCUGACUGACAUUUCCAUCUGCAGAGAAGGCUGGUAAUUAACAGGAAGGAGUGUGCCUGCAGCAUUACACCAUCUGCUAGGGAAACGGCUCAAUAAGAAAGGCGCUGGAUAGCAUCUCAGCAGUGGCGCGAUCUGGUUCCGACAUGAGGCCGGGCAUCUGUUAGCAGAGGAGACAGACUAUUAGGAAAUUCGACUGGGAAUGAACAACAUGGAAAGAGUACUCUGACCUAGCCCAUAAAAGCAACUCUGUAGAAGCAGCGUCUUUUUUAUCUUACUUACACAAGUCUUCUGAAAAUGGUUUGCUGAGGGGCCAUUACAGAUCUGUUUGAACUAACACAAUGGAUUCAGAAAUGCUUGUUUGAUUCCAAAGUGAAAUUCUGGGAAUCAGGAUACAGCUGUCAUCUUUUGACAAUAGAACUAAUUUCAGAGCGAGGAUAUGAGUGACCGUGGAGAAACUUUUGACUCCAGCUCUCCGAGUCAAGUGAGAGAUCAGACCUUGUCAGACCUUGGAAGCUCCUUCCCAUUGACCAGGUCCACAGACUAUUUCCCACAGUCCAGCAGAUGGUGGAUGACUGGAAGACGUGUCUUUCUGUGUGUGCGUGUCUGUUACUAAAUCAGAGCCAUCCGAUGCGAUGGGCUGAGACCUCAUGGCACCAUAUGGGACUGAAGAACACAGAGACCUUGGAAUUUAAAUUCAUCUGAGAAAGACGGACACAUGCUUCAAAUUUAGAGCAUUAGUUCUUUUAUGGGGUCCUCUUGUGAAUGCAGAUCAUCUCACUAAUGCACACUGAUAUAUAAAAGGACUGGCGACAAACUUUUUAAAAUGUCAUUGGUAUUAGGAGAAAGAAACAGAUUAG